GGAUUGGCAGCCUGGGUUGCUAGCAGAACCCGCGAGAAAUAAGCUAGCGUCUUACGUUUCCCAGAUUCAUCUGGAUGGGGGCAAACAAGCGACAGAGAUUGGUCACUUACUACCUAGAUGACCUUGGGCAAGUCACUGCUGCUGCUGCUGCCGCCACCGCUGCUGCUAAUUAAUGCUAAUGUCAAUGCUGCUGCUGCUGCUCAGGUCACAUUUCAUUGUGAGGACCAUUUAAAAGGUGUAGAAGGAUUGCAAUCAGGGUUGGUGGAGGGAAUGAAUACACACGUGUAUGAAAUCACAGAUCCUUGAAAUAAUAAAAUCAUCAUUAAUCUUUA